rnacentral:tRNA from 3 species
GGAAGUGUGGCCGAGUGGUUGAAGGCAGCGGUCUUGAAAACCGCCGAAGGGGAGACCUUUCCCAGAGUUCGAAUCUCUGCGCUUCCGCCA